CCAGCUCCAAUAGCGUAUAUUAAAGUUGUUGCAGUUAAAAAGCUCGUAGUUGGAUUUCAAGGGUCGCAGCGUCCACAAGACGUUUGCUCCCUACCAGUCUUUGACUGUUACUGUGAGAAAAUUAGAGUGUUUCAAGCAGGCUGUUGCAGGAAUACAUUAGCAUGGAAUAACGAAUGUGUCUAGAAUCGUGGUUAAUUCUAGAUUUCGAUUAAUAGGGACAGUUGGGGGCAUUAGUAUUUAAUUGUCAGAGGUGAAAUUCUUGGAUUUGUUAAAGACUAACGUAUGCGAAAGCAUUUGCCAAGGAUGUUUUCA
rnacentral:rRNA from 1 species